GAAUCCAUCGAUCCAUCCAUCCAUCCGUCCCUCCAUCCAUCCAUUUUCCUCCACUGAUCCAGAGUAGAGUCUCAGUGGCAACAGACUAUGCAUAUCAUUCCAGGCAGGCGCUCUUCUUGCCAGCAACGUCUUCCAGCUCCUCCUGGAGAAUCCCAAGGCGUUCCCACCCCAGAUAAAAAAUGUAAUCCCUCCAGUGAGUUGGGAGUCUACCCCAGAGUUUCCUCACUGUUGGACGUGACCAGAAAUCCUCCAAACGAAGGAGACAUUCUCAUCAGAUGUAAUUCCCUUCUGUGGCCAGUUCAGGUGGAGGAGCUUGCUGGUGAAUAUCUGGUGGGUAACAGCCCGAAAAAACACCUUGCAAUCACCACCCAGUAUGCCGACCACAUGCAGGAGUAACUGAUAGGGUAAGGUGCACUCCUGAUCCCUGGAAUCGCAGACUAUUAAUGUAAUUUGCAAACUGUGAUAUGGUGGUAAAGGCACCCAGUAAGAAAGAAACAACAAGCAAUGAAGAAGCCAGUCCACAUUAGGAGACAGGAGGAUGAAUUUUGACGUAAACCAGUGACCAACUUCUCACUCAGAAGAUUAGUGUUCAUGUCCCAUGAUGGAUACUUCAGCUUUCACUGUUUCUGGUUAGGUUUGAGCACAAAAACUAUGUGGUUAGGUUUAGGAAAAUAUCACACUUUGCUGGACACCUCUAGAUGUUGGAAGUUUGGUUUAGUUAGGCAGCAAAAUAACUUGGUUAGGAAUUCAAUGAAUGUUGAUUAGGGUCAAAAUGACUUUCACUACAUGUUCGAAUCACUCCUCCAUUCUGCCUACCUAGCACCGUCUGACUUUUAUCUCUUUUCCAAACUGAAAUCCUACUCGUGUGGUCGUCGUUUUAAGAGCGAUGAUGAGGUCAUGCAUGCUGUUGAGGAGUAUCUGGAGGCUCAAGACGUGACCUUCUUCUGAAAGAGCAUCAGUGCAUUGAAGUUAAAGGAGACUAUGCUGAAAUAAUGCAGGGAAAAUGUGUCUCCUGUGGACUUUUCUGACGAGACCAUGGACUUUUUGAAGGAUUGAAAAUGCAGUUAAGUUGUUUCAGAAUGUAAUUUGUGACUGAAUUUUGCAACUGGUUUUCAGGACGUUAGAAUUCUCCAACAUCAAAUGUGAUGUUUUCAAAUGUUUCCAGAUGUUGAACAUUACCAGAUUAUUGACAGAAAGAAGGUCAGAACAACUUUAAAUUCUGAUUUGUAAUGCAGAGAGUGUUAUUUUAUAAAACAACCAUCAUGAACACUGAUUUACUGCUUCAAUAUGAAUGCAGAGUUAUUGAACACAGGGCCAAUAACAACAACAUAACGGUGUGUUAACAGCUCAUGUUCUUUUAACACACUGUUAAAUUGUGUUAUUGGCCCUGUGUUUAAUAACUAUCAAUCUUCAUACAUAAAGGUGCAUAAAUGACUUUUGGACAGCCUUUACUGGGAGGAAAGUUACUUUAGUGCGAGCAGCUUGAGGUUCAGGUCAAAUAUCAGGACUCACACACCAUCAACACUCACCCGCUGCUGCUGACACCUGCUCAAAACAUCUGUCACAACCACGACUCGUCUCACUCUUAUCAUUAGCCGGCACAAAUCAGCAACACGGGAGAUUUAACCAAAUCCUGCUGGACGAUUUCUGCAAUGCUAUCUCAAUUACAGCGAGAAAAAAAGAAGACAGAUGAGCGUAGAUGUGUGUGAAUGCUUGGAGUGUUUCCACUGCGAAGCUCAGCGCGGAACACAAGAGUAAAACCUUUCCCCAGAGCGUUUCCCCCAGAGCCUCAGCUCAAACUGCAGAACCACUCUGUGUGGCAACUGUUGAACAAAAUGGACUCUCACAAGAAGGAGAGAAAAAUCCCACGGGAGGAGAAGGAGGAGGAGAGGGAGGAAAUCAAUGCAAGGAGAGUGGCUCCAGAGUCACACUGAUCUGAAUGGUGAGGAUGUGUUUACCGCAGCAUCGACUGUGACUUCUGAAGAGUAAUGGUGAUGUGUCAGGCGGUGGUGGAGAGGACACACUCACCAGGCCUGAGACUUCCUCCUGGGCACGCUCUGUCUCGUCCACUUGGAGUGAGGGGUCAGGUGGUAAAUCAGCUGGCGGCAGAUCUUGUUGGUGGACUUGAGCGAAUCGGUCUCCUGUGGCACACACACAUAAAAGGCGAAUGAAAGACCACAAAAAGACGAGUCUAGUUCAUGGAAACCAACCAAAAACAAACACUAAUUGUUCAUGAUUAAAUGCACCUGAAGCAUCAAACAGGAAGUUAAACAAACCACUGAACUGUAUAUUUCACAGUAAGCAAAGUAUAGAAUGAACUGUUUACAAAAGGUCUGAUGGCUGCAAAGUGAAAGUCAUUUAUGAACACUGGAUGUCUGUUCGACUGAUCUUUUCUUUAUUUGUGCAGAAAUAAACCAACAGAUGCACUGAU